GUUGUUAACGCUUACUCAUCACACCAAAAACUCCCACCCCACCCACCGUUCCUCCCUUACUCCCUUCAUCACCGUUCACUCUCACUAUUUUCCAACCAUCGAGCGGCUAUAAAUAAGCCCACUCUCUACUCCCUCGAAUGGCAUCUUCCUCUCUCUCUGCGUCCACCUUCUCAUCCUCUGUGCGAAGACUGUGUAGACCGUACGCUCAGCUAAUCUCACCUCAGGUAGCAUUUAACCUCAAGAGAGUCGAUUACUCCACUGGAGUAAGACCAGGGGCUUCGGCUGUUAUCGUAACAGAAUCCAGGAGAUUUGAUUGCAGAACGAAGGCGUCGUUCAUGGCUGGGAUUCCGACGGCGACGACCGCUGGAAAGAAGAAAGAAGUGGAGAUUUUUGAGUCGGAGGAGGCUCUGGCGGUGUCUCUGGCCAAAUAUACGGCUGAUCUAUCUGAAAAGUUUUG
rnacentral:misc_RNA from 1 species